rnacentral:rRNA from 1 species
UGGCUCUCUCGGGGGUCCGAGUUGUAAUUUGCAGAGGGUGCUUUGGCAUCGGCGGCGGUCUAAGUUCCUUGGAACAGGACAACACAGAGGGUGAGAUUCCCGUAUCUGGGCGCCUGCCUUUGCCGUGUAAAGCCCCUUCGACGAGUCGAGUUGUUUGGGAAUGCAGCUCUAAAUGGGAGGUAAAUUUCUUCUAAAGCUAAAUACCGGCCAGAGACCGAUAGCGCACAAGUAGAGUGAUCGAAAGAUGAAAAGUACUUUGGAAAGAGAGUCAAAUAGCACGUGAAAUUGUUGAAAGGGAAGCGCUUGCAGCCGGACUUGCCCGCAGUUGCUCACCCAGGCUCCGGCCUGGGGCACUCUUCUGCGGGCAGGCCAGCAUCAGUUUGGGCGGUUGGAUAAAGGCCUCUGUCACGUAUCUCCCUCCGGGGUGACCUUAUAGGGGAGGCGUAAUGCAACCNGCCCGGACUGAGGUCCGCGCAUCUGCUAGGAUGCUGGCGUAAUGGCUGUAAGCGGCCCGUCUUGAAACACGGACCA